rnacentral:ncRNA from 2 species
AUCGGGUCGGGGAAUGAAGUGCUCCCUUCGACAUGUUCGAAAACCGCCUGACGGCUGAUGACUUCUACGCGUUU